UACGUAGGGGGCAAGCGUUGUCCGGAUUUACUGGGCGUAAAGGGUGUGUAGGCGGUUAUUUAAGUUUGGUGUGAAAUCUCCCGGCUCAACCGGGAGGGUGCGCCGAAUACUGAAUGACUUGGAGUGCGGGAGAGGAAAGUGGAAUUCCUGGUGUAGCGGUGAAAUGCGUAGAUAUCAGGAGGAACACCGGUGGUGUAGACGGCUUUCUGGACCGUAACUGACGCUGAGACACGAAAGCGUGGGUAGCAAACAGG
rnacentral:rRNA from 1 species